GAUGAACGCUGGCGGCGUGCCUAAUACAUGCAAGUCGAGCGAACAGACGAGGAGCUUGCUCCUCUGACGUUAGCGGCGGACGGGUGAGUAACACGUGGAUAACCUACCUAUAAGACUGGGAUAACUUCGGGAAACCGGAGCUAAUACCGGAUAAUAUAUUGAACCGCAUGGUUCAAUAGUGAAAGACGGUUUUGCUGUCACUUAUAGAUGGAUCCGCGCCGCAUUAGCUAGUUGGUAAGGUAACGGCUUACCAAGGCAACGAUGCGUAGCCGACCUGAGAGGGUGGUCCGCCAAACUGGAAACGGAGCACGGUCCCGACUCCGUAGGGAGGCAAGAGGUGGGGAAUCUCCGGCAAUGGCGAAAGCCUGACGGAGCAACGCCGCGUGAGUGAUGAAGGUCUUCGGAUCGUAAAACUCUGUUAUUAGGGAAGAACAAAUGUGUAAGUAACUAUGCACGUCUUGACGGUACCUAAUCAGAAAGCCACGGCUAACUACGUG
rnacentral:rRNA from 1 species